CCCUUAGAUGUUCUGGGCUGCACGCGCGCUACACUGAUGCGUUCAACGAGUUUUUAGCUUAUCUGAUAAGAUUGGCUAAUCUUCUGAAAACGCAUCGUGAUGGGGAUAGAUUAUUGUAAUUAUUAAUCUUCAACGAGGAAUUCCUAGUAGGUGUGAAUCAUCAGUUCACGCCGAUUACGUCCCUGCCCUUUGUACACACCGCUCGUCGCUCCUACCGAUUGAGUGAUCCGGUGAAUAAUUCGGACCGGUGAGCUUCCAGGUUUACCUGUCUGCUUGCUGGAAAGUCUAGUGAACCUUAUCACUUAGAGGAAGGAGAAGUCGUAACA
rnacentral:rRNA from 1 species